rnacentral:tRNA from 2 species
GUGGAUAUAGCUCAGUUGGUUAGAGCGCCUGGUUGUGGCCCAGGAGGUCGCCGGUUCAAAUCCGGUUAUCCACCCCA